GAUGAAUUCAAUUCUUAUGGUGACACAAUCACAAAGACUCACAUUUAACUGACCAUUCAAUGGAUUAAAUCGUUGAGAGGAUAAAGAGAUGAAUCACAGAUAACAAAGCAGAAAGAAGGAAAUUUAAGACAAUAAACAAAAUUAAUUCUAAAUUUAGAGAAACAAUUAAACAACAACAGAAUAAUUAACAAAGAAUUAAACGAAAAUGUUGUCAGUUGAUUUCUUUUUUUUGUCUAAUUUUUUAUUCUCUCAAAAAUGGCGCGUAAUUUUAAAAGAAUUAAAAAGAACAUUUUUUUUCUCCAAUUUUUUGUUAACCCUUUUCAUCUCUUACUUUAGUGUGUUUUGUUUUUCUAAUUAACUGUUUAUCCGAAUUUAAUUAAUUGUUAAUUUUUGUGGAUUAUUUUUUUUUUCUUCUUCAAGUGUGUUUUUCGUCAACACCAUAAACAGUUUUCCAUCUUAAACAAUCAAAAAACAAAAAGAAAACCUUCCCUCCCCUGAAGGUAAGACACCGAGAUUGAUGCCAAAAGAUACACAAUAAGCCCGAUGAAAUUCAGCUUCCGUAUGGAUUAAAAAUCGUUUCACUCUCUCUCUCUCUAUAUGUAUGAAAAUGGUCAUGUUGACAUUGAUGGCAAUGGAUAAAAACUAAGCUUCAUUUUGAUUUGUUUCACUUUUAAAACCAAAAACAGAAUUAAAUAUGAUUACAUGUUAAUUGCUGUAUUCAUCGUAAUUGAUUGGUUUACUAUCCCUGAUUUUGGUCAAUCAAACCGGAACCUGAUUAAUUGGGACAAUCAAUUGGUUUACACAUAAAUAUAAUCUCAAUGAGUUUCAUUCACUUGCUGCCUAUUUAGAUGAAUGUGAUUGUUUUGAUUUUUGUGAAGAAAAUUUAAACUUGAAGAAAAAGUUAAUUGUUACAAUUGAAGCUCACACGUUCAUGGUGAAAAUGGUUAACUUUUUAUUGUCUUGAUGUUUACAACUAUCAUAAUGGAUAAUCAUAAUUACUGUUAUAUUUUGUGAUUUAAUAUUCAUGGUCACUAACAAUUGACACAAUCGAAAGUUGGUCUAAUUAACUUACACACACCUUGACAAACAAUUAAAUUUCUCAUCAAAAUUUGAGUAAAGUUUUACUUUUACUGUUCUCAUUUUGAUGGUGAAAUUUUGAUUCCUUAAUUGUUGAUUGUUUGUUUACAAUAAUUGUUUCCAUCAACAGCAAUUAAUUCAAAUGGUUGACGAUAAAAAUGAUCAUUUCAAUUUUCAAUUGAGAUGAAGAAAAAAAAGUCAUAAUAAUUGAUGAUAAUUAAUUAGAAAGAAAUUAGAAAAUCUCUUUUAAACAAUCACGUUUUUGCUCCACAAUUGUGAUAAGUAACAAUUAGUAUUAUUAUUGAUGAUUAGGGGUCAAUCUAAAUUAACCAAAAAUCUUAACUAACCCAAUAAUCAACAGCAUCAAUUGGAUGAUGAUUUUAUCAAUGAAAUUUUGUAAAUACAAUUAAAGGGUUAGAUUGAUAAUUAGAUGAUUAAAAGUAGGAGGUUUAUCAUACUCAUCACUUUAAUCAUGAUUCGUAUCAACAACAAUUUAAGUAUAAUCAAUGUGUAUACAUAUUGAUUACACGUGACUAACUGAUAUUAUCUCCAUCAUGGUGAAUCAAAUUGUUGAUCAUGUUGAUUUUUUCUUUCAUGAACAAUUAAGAUUUAGAUUACCUAUCAAAGUAUCAAAUCUACUAAUUUAGUUAGUUGAUAUCAAAAGCAAAUUAACUCAUUCUUAUUAUGUUGAUGAAUCGUGUAAAUUGUUCAUCGGCUGAAUAUCUCUCUCUCUCUCUCUCUCUCUCUCUCUCUCUCAUGUUAUUCAUUUUUGUCUAAAUUGUUGGCACUUUUUUCUCUACUUUAUCACAAUUAAAUCACGAUUCCAUCACAACAACGAAAAAAAAUAAUCGCAAUUACCAAGAUGAGGAUGCGGAUUCUAAAUGAAUGCCAACUUAAUAUAACCUUUAACCUUGGGAAGCAAAAUACAGGAAAAGGUUAAUAUAAUCAAUUUUGAUGGGCGAUCAGUAAUAAUAAUGAUGAUGAUGAUGAUGGUUAAUAACGGUGACCUUAAUAAACCGGAAAUAUAUUUUCAAUCCCCAAAAACAAGUGAGACAAGCCAAUUGUGGAUAAUAAAUUAAGCCCAUCAUUUGAUUGAUUAGUUGAGUGUGUGUUUGGAAUCAAUGAAUUAACUUCAAUCUCUCUACACCUUAUAUACAAUUUACACUCGAAGAUGAAUGAAUUUUUUUUCUUCUAAACUUUGAAGAGAAAAAGAGAAAUGGUCAAUGAUUAAGAAGAGAGAAUUUGAUUUGUAAAAGUUAAUCAGUUUUAAUUUCUAACAAUCAAAUAACAAUGUAUUUCGAUAAUACGUUGAAAAGAUCAAAUAUUUAUUAACCUAAUCGUGAAUAAAAUUAACAGUAAAAGGAUGAUAAUGAUUUUCGCGUGAAUGGUCAAGUAAGAAACUAAGAAAAUUGCCUGAGGGUAAAUUAUCAAGGAGGAGAAAUUAAUGUUUUCCAAAAAAGUGAUCCCAAUGCUAAUCAAUUAAUCAUUUGAAGGGUAACCAAGGGGUCAAAAUGAUGUUAUUAUAAACUAAAAGUAUAACAACCUAAUUGGAAAGAUCAAUGAUCUAUUUUAAUCAUUGAUUUGAUGAAUUAGAGGAAAACUUUAAAUUAGAUUAUAUAUAUAAAUUUAUCUCUCGAUUCUCAAUUAGAUUCCGUUAUUUUUUUUUGUGAACUUGAAACUUGUCACACAAACAGAAUAACAACUACAGAUAAAUUUUCUUAAUUGUUUGGAUUUACUGAAAGAUUUUCGAUAAUAAUUGAAGGUAAUCAAUGGAAAGUGAUCUUCUCACAAUCAUGUUUCAUGAUAGAGAGAAAAUGUCGGUUCUCAUGGAUUAAAGGUCAUUAAGUGGACACUUUAAAAAUCGGAAAUGAUUAACUAAUGACAAAAACUUUUCUCGUCCAUUAAGUUUGUGAAAAUCAAUUGGUCAUCGGGAUUUCACACAAAUGAUAAUCAUUUCAUUCUGAUAAUAGUGUUGAGGUUUUUCAUCCUGAUGAUACACUUUUCUCAUCAUGAACACACUUAAUAUGAGGUUGAAUCUACUUUUGCCCGAAAGGCAUCAUUGGAACAUGAAAUAUGCAAAAGAUUUUCCUAAAUUGUUGCUCAUUUAACGUUGAAUUUAUAUACUUUUUGAGUAAAUAUCUAUAAUUAUAUGUAUUCAAUGAAUGAAUAAAAGAUAAACAUGAAAUAUUAAUCUAAGUUAAUGAAUAGAUGAAAAGUUGAUUGGGCUUUUUAAGAGAUAUAAACAAAUUAUAUGCACAUAAAAUGGAAUAUCAAUAAAAGAGAGUAGAACUUUUUUUUUCUCUUCUUCUUUUCAUCAACUUUAACCAAAAAUCUUCAAUUGAUUGGAUUGAUAAGGUGAACAAAUUUAAGGAGAAAAAUUCAAAUGAUGGGAUAUUAAUAAUAAUCGAGAAGAAGAGAAAAAAGUAUCGGCAAAGUAAAGGAAAAAAAGAUGAUGAGAUGAAUAGGAAAACAGAAUAAAAAAGAUGAGAAUAAUUGAUGAAAUUGAUGUUUAAUUGUUGAACCAGUUUCAACUGUUACCUGGUUUGAUAAAUUAGUUGAUGGAAUUGGUUGUAAUUAAAUUCACUGAUAAUUACAAAUGAAGUAAUUAGAAUACAAAAUUCAAUCAGAUGACUUGAAUUUCAUUUCAAUGUUGAAGAAACAUAAACAAAACUGUUGACAUUUACACAUGAUUAGCUCUCUAAUUUUUCAACCAAUAGUUGACAGUUUCUAUAACUGUGAUUAAUUAA